AGUUAUCUGAACCUUCGGGGAACGAUAACGGCGUCGAGCGGCGGACGGGUGAGUAAUGCCUAGGAAAUUGCCCUGAUGUGGGGGAUAACCAUUGGAAACGAUGGCUAAUACCGCAUGAUGCCUACGGGCCAAAGAGGGGGACCUUCGGGCCUCUCGCGUCAGGAUAUGCCUAGGUGGGAUUAGCUAGUUGGUGAGGUAAGGGCUCACCAAGGCGACGAUCCCUAGCUGGUCUGAGAGGAUGAUCAGCCACACUGGAACUGAGACACGGUCCAGACUCCUACGGGAGGCAGCAGUGGGGAAUAUUGCACAAUGGGCGCAAGCCUGAUGCAGCCAUGCCGCGUGUGUGAAGAAGGCCUUCGGGUUGUAAAGCACUUUCAGUCGUGAGGAAGGUGGUGUAGUUAAUAGCUGCAUCAUUUGACGUUAGCGACAGAAGAAGCACCGGCUAACUCCGUGCCAGCAGCCGCGGUAAUACGGAGGGUGCGAGCGUUAAUCGGAAUUACUGGGCGUAAAGCGCAUGCAGGUGGUUUGUUAAGUCAGAUGUGAAAGCCCGGGGCUCAACCUCGGAAUAGCAUUUGAAACUGGCAGACUAGAGUACUGUAGAGGGGGGUAGAAUUUCAGGUGUAGCGGUGAAAUGCGUAGA
rnacentral:rRNA from 1 species